rnacentral:misc_RNA from 1 species
AAGUCGUAACAAGGUUUCCGUAGGUGAACCUGCGGAAGGAUCAUUAACACAAUCCAACAAAGUAAAUAUGGUUAUGGGGCUUUUUCCUUUAACUAUAUUUAUUUUAUUAACCCCCCUUUAUGGAUGAAUUAUUUUGGCAAGAACUGCGGGGCGAAUUAUUUCACCCGCAAUGUUUUUUCCAAUCUUUUUUUUUUCAACAUUUUUUUAAACCCAACCCCAUUCUAAUACUAUACUAUUGUCUAAUAUAAUGCCAAAAAUAUUCAAUUAAGAAAACAACUCUUAACAACGGAUAUCUUGGCUCUC